UACGUAGGGUGCAAGCGUUGUCCGGAAUUAUUGGGCGUAAAGAGCUCGUAGGCGGUCUGUCGCGUCGGCUGUGAAAACUCGGGGCUCAACUCCGAGCUUGCAGUCGAUACGGGCAGGCUAGAGUUCGGCAGGGGAGACUGGAAUUCCUGGUGUAGCGGUGAAAUGCGCAGAUAUCGGGAGGAACACCUGUGGCGAAAGCGGCAUACUGGACCAUAACUGACGCUGAGGCGCGAAAGCUAGGGGAGCAAACAGG
rnacentral:rRNA from 1 species